UACGUAGGGUGCAAGCGUUGUCCGGAAUUAUUGGGCGUAAAGAGCUCGUAGGCGGUUUGUCGCGUCUGCUGUGAAAACCCGAGGCUCAACCUCGGGCCUGCAGUGGGUACGGGCAGACUAGAGUGCGGUAGGGAGAUUGGAAUUCCUGGUGUAGCGGUGAAAUGCGCAGAUAUCAGGAGGAACACCGAUGGCGAAGGCAGGUCGUCUGGGCCGAUACUGACGGCUGAGGAGCGAAAGCGUGGGGAGCGAACAGG
rnacentral:rRNA from 1 species